GUUAAACUCGCAGAACAUCUUAAUAUCUCCGAAAGUAUGAGCUGAAUCGGGGGUCAUAUUUUUUGUUGUUGAGCCCCUUUUUCGAUAUGGCCGACAAUGCAUACGACUGCGAUUUCAGGCUGUGUUAAAAUUACGCCAUUGACGUGGAAUUCCAGACCCUAACACCUUUCGUCAUGUUACGUUUCUAUGACUGCAAAGUGUCGAUGACUUGCGCUUGGAGGUUUCAUGAGUUUUGAACUUGCCUUAGCCUCCAACCGUACAUAUUCGCAAUAAAGAUGGGAUUUUUCUACCUUUGCGAAAUCCAAGUUACGUUAUGACAGAAAUUCGAAUCCAAAUCUGGUCUAUGGAACCUCGAACAAGAUUUAGAUUUGCAUUCAUCUCUGUCGGCAUCUGGUUUUGAGGGGUCAUGCACUGAUAACUUAGGAACCAAAUACACGGACUCUGCCUUGAAAGUCGUGAGGUUGGAGAUGAUAAAAAAAAUCUCGGCACAAGUGCUAGAAUAUAUGACAUCAGGGAAAGUUUUUCAACGAAAUGUUCUAGCACAGAUCAAAGUACUGCUCAUCGAUUUUGAAUUUGUUGGAGGCGAACAGACAUUAGAGCUAGAGUUCCUAGUCAAAGCGUGCCUAACGAAAAGCUGAUUAGUUGCUUCGCGUGGUUCCUCAAGUAUUCACGAAUUGAAACAAUGUAGCGGAAAAAUUUAUUGACUUUACAUGAGCCUCAGGUUUGUCGUCAUCAAUGGUGCAUUUACCUCUGAUGCAGUCAGAGUAUGUGGCCCUGUUCCAGCAAGUUGCCAGGAGUAUCGAUAAUAGCAGAGACGUAAAAACCG